GUGAGUCCCGUAGUCAAUCUAACCUAUGGACGGGCAUAACCUCGGGAAACUGAGGAUAAAACCCGAUAGAUCAUAGUGCCUGGAACGGUUUAUGGUCCAAAUGAUUCGUCGCCGUAGGAUGGGACUGCUUUCUAUCCUCUUGUUGGAGAGGGAAUGGCGCACCCAGGCUAUUACAGGUACGGGCUCUGAAAAGAAAAGCCCGGAAAUGGUUACUGACACACGGACCCUAGCCCUAUGGGGCGCAACAUGUGAGAAAACUUUGCAAUGUGCUCAAGCACGACAAGGUUAAUCUGAGUGAUUCCUGCUAAAGGAAUCUUUUGCUAUUCCUAACAACACCCCCCAAUAACGGGUGGGCAAGUUCUGGUGUCAGCCGCCGCGGUAAAACCAGCACCUCACCCCUUAGGAGGAUUAUUGGGCCUAAAGCAUCCGUAUUCUGCUCUGUAAGUUUCCGGUUAAAUCCAUUAGCUUAGCUGAUGGGCCGCCGGAAAAACUGCCGAGCUAUGGAGUGCGAGAGGUAUACGGUACUCUCUAGGAAGGCAUCUCAUCCUUUGAUCUAUCGAAGACCACCACUGUAAAAGGCUGGCUACCCCAUCACGUUCCACAGAGAGGGAUGAGACCUGGUCGAGUACAACGGAUUAGAUACCCGUGUACUCCCAGCUGU
rnacentral:rRNA from 1 species